rnacentral:rRNA from 1 species
GACGAACGCUGGCGGCGUGCCUAAUACAUGCAAGUAGGACGCAGUUGCGAACGGGUGAGUAACGCGUAGGUAACUGCCCAUUAGAGGGGGGUAACUAUUGGAAACGAUAGCUAAUACCGCAUACUAGUAGAUGGACCUGCGUUGUAUUAGCUAGUAGGUAGGGUAAUGGGCUACCUAGGCAACGAAACAUAGCCGAACUGGGAGGGUGAUCGGCCACAACGGGAACGGGAAACGGCCCAGACUCCUGCGGGAGGGAGGAAUAGGGAAUCUGCGGCAAUGGGGGGAACCCUGACCGGGCAAAGCCGCGUGAGGGAAAAAGGGUUUCGGAUCGUAAAGCCCUGUUGUUAAGGAAGCGGUACUUAACCAGAAAGGGACGGCUAACUACGUGCCAGCAGCCGCGGUAAUAC